rnacentral:rRNA from 1 species
UACGGAGGGUGCGAGCGUUAUUCGGAAUUACUGGGCGUAAAGGGCGCGUAGGCGGCCUGGUAAGUCAGGGGUGAAAUCCCACGGCUCAACCGUGGAAUUGCCUUUGAAACUGCUGGGCUUGGAUCCUGGAGAGGGUGGCGGAAUUCCUGGUGUAGGAGUGAAAUCCGUAGAUAUCAGGAGGAACACCGGUGGCGAAGGCGGCCACCUGGACAGGUAUCGACGCUGAGGCGCGAAAGUGUGGGGAGCAAACAGG